rnacentral:rRNA from 1 species
GCAAGAUUAAAACUCAAAGGAAUAGACGGGGACCCGCACAAGCGGUGGAGCAUGUGGUUUAAUUCGACGAUACGCGAAGAACCUUACCUGGCCUUGACAUAGACAGAAGUUUGCAGAGACGCAGAUGUGCUAGUUUACUAGAACUGUCAUACAGGUGCUGCACGGCUGUCGUCAGCUCGUGUCGUGAGAUGUUGGGUUAAGUCCCGCAACGAGCGCAACCCUCGUGUUUAGUUACUAACAGUUCGGCUGAGGACUCUAAACAGACUGCCUGGGUAACCAGGAGGAAGGUGAGGACGACGUCAAGUCAUCAUGGCCCUUACGGCCAGGGCUACACACGUGCUACAAUGGGGUAUACAAAGAGCUGCAAUACGGUGACGUGGAGCAAAUCUCAUAAAAUAUCUCCCAGUUCGGAUUGAAGUCUGCAACUCGACUUCAUGAAGUUGGAAUCGCUAGUAAUCGUAGAUCAGCAAUGCUACGGUGAAUACGUUCCCGGGUCUUGUACUCACCGCCCGUCACACCAUGGGAAUUGAAUUCAUUCGAAGCGGGGAUGCUAAAGUAGCUACCUUCCACAGUGGAUUUAGUAACUAGGGUGAAGUCGUAACAAGGUA